rnacentral:misc_RNA from 1 species
CUGGAAUUAAGAUAAUUUAAUUUAAUUAGAUUAGGACAUUUUAAUUAAUUAUAAUUAAUUUGUAAAUUCAAUUUUGACUUGUUAAAUUGUUUUUUCCUUUUAUUUUCUGUUUAUUAUUUAUUUAAUUAUUUUGUAUUCUUUGAAUUUAAAUGUGUGCAUAACAUUAGCUUGUAUAAAUGUAUGAUUAGGGAAUUUAAUAAAAGAGACAAUAAGACAAACUUUAAAAAUCAAUAGUAGAGGCUAGCCCUUAUUCUAAAAUAAGUCUAGGCCUAUAGGGUGCCUAUCACUUUCCCUCUUUUGUACGCUCCAUCCCAAACCUAGGUUAGUGAGCUCAAGGUAAAAUAAUGGUAGUAGACCUCUGCAAGUGGUAAGUUGUCACGUCCUUGCCUUUAACACAGUUAUUACUCGGGUGGCGACUCAUGUUCUUCGCCUUAAUGGCAUUAAUAUCUAAUUAUUGUGAUAGUGUUAUGAGAAGACAAUGUUAAACCAAGUUCAAUGGUCUCACACCUCCCUCUUAGAAUCUUCUUGCCUCUAGCCUCUUUUCCUCCCCCAUCUCCUUUUGUUUUAGCUUUACCUAAUAAGCAGUGGGAUCUUCCCAUUUCCUUCCCCUAUCCUUUUUCUCAUCUUCUCCCUUUAUCCUUUUGCUCAUUCCCUUCUAACAAUAACUACACAACAAAACCCCAAUUCAAAAUAUCUAAAAAUCCCUUUUGAUAAAAACUUGCAAGAAAUUAAAAAAAAAAAUCAAUUCUUUCAAUUUUAUGAUCAUCAAGG